CGGCUCGAAGGGUACGGUCAGGGACUCGCCACCGCCGCAGUAGGAGAGGCGCGAGGGCCCGCUGUCGGUGAUCAGCAGGUGCGUGAAAACCACGGGCCGGUCCUCACAGCGCAGGAAAUUCCGCUCUCUGCCACAAAGCGAAAGGAAAGGGAAGGAGGCCUCGUAGCGUCCACUGCGGUUGGGUCUCAGACGGGAGAAGAAAGUAGCCAGGAACUGCAGGUCUAGGGGAGCAAAAGGACGACUGUUCACCAACUUGGGAUUCCAAGGCCCCGGGAUCAUUCUCAGGCAGGCCCGUCUCCCUGGACCAUGAAUACUAGCAGAAGACCGCCAGCCCCCUAGUGCAGGCGAGCACUGCCUACAAAUUUGAGGGAUGCCCUGAAACGCGGAGGGCGGGCACAAGAAGACAGCUUGGCAAUACCUUUGAAGCAGGUGAUGAAGUUCUUCAUUUUGGAAUCAUCCAGGAAAAGCUGCAGGCAGAAGUGACAGACGAUGGAUAACAAGGCCUGAGCCCAGUGUGGUGUGCGAUGUUUUUGCUUCUGUGGACAAUCUGUACAGGGAGGCUCAUGGAAGUGUCUAGUCAGAUGUGGCACUUUCUGCACCGAGGCUACCAGGCCUACUCCAAAACAUUUCUAAAGCAGGGAAGACUUCCUGGGUCAUGAGAAUUCAGCCGGGGGUUGAUCCCAGCAGGGCAGGGCUGGGGGUGAUACCCAGUGAGUACAUGGUCCUGGCGUUCACACACCACGUAAGUUUCCCUUCUCCUUGGACCCGCGUCAGGCCCCUCUUCCACCAGACCUCAGGCCCUCUCUACACCAGCCCUCCUACCGCGCGCACCUCAGGACACCCCUGUCUCGCGCCCCGCCCACCUGGCCCUGGUGAUCCACGUAAUAGAAGUACUCGCGGGUCCGGGGCUCUGGGCUCUGGCCCUGCGUGUAAGGGACAGGCCCGUUCCCGCUGUAGGCCUGACCUCCGCGUGACCGCGCCAAGGCCUGGGCUAGGGCCCGGGCCCGGAGUGCACUGCACAGGGGCCACAUACUCCCACGCCGGAAGCAGAUCUCCCAGGCGUUGCUGAUCGAACCCACGUUCCUAGCAGAGCUCCGAGCUUUGGGUUCCGGUGGUGGAAGCCGGGACCCCGCGGCGCUCCCUGAGCUCCCUUGCCCCGGAAGCAGCCAAGCUGAGCCCUCCCCUUGCCGCGCGUCGGGAGGAACGGGAGGCGCAGGCAGCGCGAGUGUACACAUGAACUUUAUUCCCACGAAGCGCCGUCGCCUCGGUCCAUGCGCCAGAGGGCCUGUGUGACCCGACCGCCCGCGGGCCCCAGCCUUUGUUUUUAAUAAUAAAUAAAAACUCUAAAAAAUA